GAUGAACGCUGGCGGCGUGCCUAAUACAUGCAAGUCGAGCGAACAGACGAGGAGCUUGCUCCUCUGACGUUAGCGGCGGACGGGUGAGUAAAACGUGGAUAACCUACCUAUAAGACUGGGAUAACUUCGGGAAACCGGAGCUAAUACCGGAUAAUAUAUUGAACCGCGUGGUUCAAUAGUGACAGACGGUUUUGCUGUCACUUAUAGAUGGAUCCGCGCCGCAUUAGCUAGUUGGUAAGGUAACGGCUUACCAAGGCAACGAUGCGUAGCCGACCUGAGAGGGUGAUCAGCCACACUAGAACUGAGACACGGUCCAGACUCCUGCGGGAGGCAGCAGUAGGGAAUCGUCCGCAAUGGUCGAAAGCCUGACGGAGCAACGCCGCGUGAGUGAUGAAGGUCUUCGGAUCGUAAGACUCUGUUAUAAGGGAAGAACAAAUGUGUAAGUAACUAUGCUCUUCUUGACGGUACCUAAUCAGAUAGCCACGGCUAACUACGUG
rnacentral:rRNA from 1 species